rnacentral:ncRNA from 1 species
AAAGCCUACUGGGGGUGCCUUCGGGCUGAGAGAGGAUUGUCCUUAACUCCAACGACCUGAUCCGGAUUAUGCCGGCGGAGGGAAGUAGCAAUCACUGACG